rnacentral:lncRNA from 1 species
UCUUCUAUAGUAUAUAAUACAUUUUAUGUAAGAUAUAUUUAUACUUAAUAUGUUUAUUUGAAGCAUAUUAAAACAUGAAAUUAUUGUACAUGCACUUCAUAUAUGGAACUGAGGAUCCAAGUUUGGAUUCUUAAUAUAUGGAAUAGCUGCAAGGCAUGAUCUUAAGGAUAAUAAUAGAGAGCUUGAUAAAGAGAGGGAAAAAAAAGAAAAGGAAAACUCUG